ACUUCCAUUCGUUACACCCAACAUAAAUUAAAAAAAUAAAAAAUGUCCCGAAAAAUGGGGGUCCACGUCAGCACUCUAACACCGACUUAUUUUGCUGGUAUAAAAUCAUCCAACUCCUCUUUAAAAGCCGUCAUACAAAUUGUCUUGAAAAGCAAGAAACUACUUUCUUUUUUUAAAUAAUUAAAAAAUCAAAAUUCCAGUAAUUCUUCUUCCACAUUGUUGGCGUAUAUUUUCUUAAUCUGACGGCGGUUAUUGUUUCCGAUCAAGAUGAUGAUGUCACGUGCUGCAACCAGAGCCGCACGAUCAAUGGUAAUGGGCAUGGCGGCCCCACGUUACUUCUCCUCCACCACUACCGCCGCCGCUGCCUUUGCCGGACUCCGGUGCAAUGAAACGACGGCGUUUAAGCUUCUGAAUGGGGUAGGUCAUCACGUGAGUGGAGGUUCAUCUGGUCACGUGCCUGGAAUGGUAGCAGGGUUUAUCCGGUUACCGGUGAGGAAUAUGAGUACGGCGACGUUGCAUGAUAAUUCCUCCGAGGAAAAGGAGAAGACGGUGACCGAUUCGGCCGGUGAAAAUGGUGGGAACGAUGAGAAGGCGGUUGUUAGUUAUUGGGGUGUUCAACCUAAGAAGAUCACCAAGGAAGAUGGUACUGAAUGGAAGUGGUCUUGUUUCAUGCCAUGGGAAACGUACAAAGCAGAUUUGUCGAUUGAUUUAGGGAAACAUCAUGUGCCUAAAACAUUAUUGGACAAAUUGGCUUAUUUUACUGUUAAGUCUCUUCGGUUGCCUACUGAUAUCUUCUUUCAGAGGAGGUAUGGAUGCCGUGCAAUGAUGCUGGAAACAGUGGCAGCAGUGCCAGGCAUGGUUGGAGGAAUGCUUCUCCACUGUAAAUCCCUCCGACGAUUUGAGCAAAGUGGUGGGUGGAUCAAGGCUCUCCUAGAAGAGGCUGAGAAUGAGCGUAUGCACCUCAUGACCUUCAUGGAGGUGGUAAAACCUCGGUGGUAUGAGCGCGCACUGGUGUUUUCUGUCCAGGGUGUUUUCUUCAAUGCUUACUUCCUCGCCUACAUUGUGUCUCCUAAGCUUGCCCAUCGUAUUGUGGGUUACCUCGAGGAAGAAGCCAUCCACUCAUACACCGAAUUUCUCAAGGAGAUUGACAAUGGAAACAUCGCGAAUGUGCCUGCUCCUGCUAUCGCUAUUGACUACUGGAGGUUGCCUGCUGACUCUACUCUUAGGGAUGUUGUCAUGGUGGUUAGGGCAGAUGAAGCUCACCACCGUGAUGUUAAUCACUUUGCAUCGGACAUUCACUAUCAAGGUCGCGAGCUGAAGGAAGCUCCUGCUCCUGUUGGUUAUCAUUGAGAAGAGAGAUUUAUCUAGCUAUUAACAGCUAAUAAAAAUCAAGAUUCAUGACUCAGAUUUGAAAGACUACUACUAAUAUGUUCUCUGAAGAUUAUACUUAAGCUAGCUAGCGAAAGCGUAUUACUAUUGUCAUGUGACUGAAUGCUGCAGGAAUCCAGGGAAAUUAAUCUCUGCAACGGAACAAGCCAACCAGAGAAUCUAAAAGAUUAGCAGCAACUCAGCAAGAAUGCAGAUAGAGUACAGCAUUAUGUCCAAGGUGUAGGCAGUGUGUUGUAGCUCUGGAAUACGCGACCAAUUUUGUCUCCUGCACUCUUUUAGCGAAAUUCCAUGGGGUGGUGAAGAUUUGAAAGUUGAUCAAUCAAAAAAUGGCCUAAUUUGGGAAAGAGGCUUGAAAUAUACCAUCGGUGGAAGCGAAUAAGCAUUGAAGUUAUUGAUUAGUAAGCGUGGAAGCAAACAAGCUCAUGAUGCCCUUACAUUAUUACAUGAGAGCGACAAACUCUACUCAUGUUGGCUUUGCUUCAUUCGCUUAAUUGAUGUGAUCUCAACUUUGUAGACGCAAGCAAAUUGAUAUUGUACUAUGUGUAUUAUUUUUUCGGACGAUUUAUAAAUAUAAGGCCGUUCUAAAACUUAAUUACAUUUCUGCAUUGAAAUAAAACGUAUUUAUAAAACUAUUGCCCA